rnacentral:lncRNA from 14 species
UCAUUAAUCUCCCAACCGAGUCCUUUUGGAAGCGGGGGGGGUGGGGGGGCCGGCAGUAACUGCCCUGCUCUGUGCUUCCCAGUGGCUUCUCCUCCGUUUGGGAACGAUCCUGGUGUCGGAAGCGUCUUGCGAGUCCCAACGCGAAGGAAACGAAGGUGGCUCCAUGUCCCAGCUGCAGAGCUCCUGGGAGCUGCACCAGCAGAACAUGGCCUAUCUUCCUGACCCAGGUAAGCCUCUGCACAGGGACCUUCUUGGGGCCGGGUCUGUCUCCUCAUGGGGCUUUAUCCAAGGAAUGUAAAGGACCAGGACAUGGGGAUGCUGCAGCUCUGCUCUGGGGCAGCCUGGACAACAGAAGGAUCCUGAAGGGGAGAGCUGAGAGCAGCUCCAGUGCCUGAAGGGAACCUGGAGAGGGGCUUGGGAUGAGGGAUGCAGGGAUGGGAUGAGGAGUUUGGGAAGAGGGAAGAGUUCAAUGGGAUAUGGGGAAGCUCUUCCCCAUGAGGGUGUUGGGAUGUGGGAUGGAGAAGCUGUGGCUGCCCCAUCCCUGGCAGUGCUCAAGGACACAGGGAUUGGAGCAUCCUGCUCCAUGGGAAGGGGUCCAUAGGGAUGCAUUGGAGCUGGAUGAGCUUUAAGGUCCCUUCAACCCAAACCAUUCCAUGAUUCCUGUCUAACGGCACCGGGAUUGUUGCCUCUGAGACGUUUCAGGUGCUGUGCAGAGGAAACUCCAGGAGCUGUUCUGGGAUCUCACAUCCCAGGUGCUCCAGGACCAUCACUCACUGGCUUCAGGUCCUCUGUGUGCUCUGCAUAGGGACAUGCAUAGGGAUAUACAUAGGGACAUGGAGGCAAAGGGAACAUAGGGACAUGGGACAUAGGGACAUGGAGGCAAAGGGAACAUAGGGACAUGGAGGCAAUGGGAACAUGGAGACAUGGAACAUAGGGACAUGGAGGUAAUGGGAACAUAGGGACAUGGAACAUAGGGACAUGGAGGUAAUGGGAACAUAGAGACAUGGAACAUAGGAAACAUGGAGG